CAGUCGAACGAGAGAAGAUCGGUGCUUGCACUGAUCCGAUCGAGUGGCGCACUUGUGAGUAACGCGUGGGUAACCUGCCUCAUACAGGGGAAUAACAGUUGGAAACGGCUGCUAAAACCGCAUAAGCGCACAGUAUCGCAUGAUACAGUGUGAAAAACUCCGGUGGUAUGAGAUGGACCCGCGUCUGAUUAGCUAGUUGGUGAGGUAACGGCCCACCAAGGCGACGAUCAGUAGCCGGCCUGAGAGGGUGAACGGCCACAUUGGGACUGAGACACGGCCCAAACUCCUACGGGAGGCAGCAGUGGGGAAUAUUGCACAAUGGGGGAAACCCUGAUGCAGCGACGCCGCGUGAGUGAUGAAGUAUUUCGGUAUGUAAAGCUCUAUCAGCAGGGAAGAUAAUGACGGUACCUGACUAAGAAGCACCGGCUAAAUACGUGCCAGCAGCCGCGGUAAUACGUAUGGUGCAAGCGUUAUCCGGAUUUACUGGGUGUAAAGGGUGCGUAGGUGGUGAGACAAGUCUGAAGUGAAAAUCCGGGGCUUAACCCCGGAACUGCUUUGGAAACUGCCUGACUAGAGUACAGGAGAGGUAAGUGGAAUUCCUAGUGUAGCGGUGAAAUGCGUAGAUAUUAGGAGGAACACCAGUGGCGAAGGCGACUUACUGGACUGCUACUGACACUGAGGCACGAAAGCGUGGGGAGCAAACAGGAUUAGAUACCCUGGUAGUCCACGCCGUANACGAUGAAUACUAGGUGUC
rnacentral:rRNA from 1 species